rnacentral:rRNA from 1 species
UGGGAAUUUUGGACAAUGGGCGCAAGCCUGAUCCAGCCAUGCCGCGUGCGGGAAGAAGGCCUUCGGGUUGUAAACCGCUUUUGUCAGGGAAGAAAUCUUCUGAGUUAAUACCUCGGGAGGAUGACGGUACCUGAAGAAUAAGCACCGGCUAACUACGUGCCAGCAGCCGCGGUAAUACGUAGGGUGCAAGCGUUAAUCGGAAUUACUGGGCGUAAAGCGUGCGCAGGCGGUUUUGUAAGACAGAGGUGAAAUCCCCGGGCUCAACCUGGGAACUGCCUUUGUGACUGCAAGGCUUGAGUGCGGCAGAGGGGGAUGGAAUUCCGCGUGUAGCAGUGAAAUGCGUAGAUAUGCGGAGGAACACCGAUGGCGAAGGCAAUCCCCUGGGCCUGCACUGACGCUCAUGCACGAAAGCGUGGGGAGCAAACAGGAUUAGAUACCCUGGUAGUCCACGCCCUAAACGAUGUCAACUGGUUGUUGGGAAGGUUCCUUCUCAGUAACGUAGCUAACGCGUGAAGUUGACCGCCUGGGGAGUACGGCCGCAAGGUUGAAACUCAAAUGAAUUGACGGGGUCAUAGCUG